GACGGAGGGUGCUAGCGUUGUUCGGAAUCACUGGGCGUAAAGGGCGCGUAGGCGGCCUUGGCAGUCAGAUGUGAAAGCCCGGGGCUCAACCCCGGAAUUGCAUUUGAUACUCCAAGGCAGGAGUUCGGAAGUGGAGGGUGGAAUACCCAGUGCAGAGGUGAAAUUCGUAGAUAUUGGGUGGAACACCGGUGGCGAAAGCGGCGCUCUGGUCCGAACCUGACGCUGUGGCGCGUAAGCGUGGCGUGCGAAGAGG
rnacentral:rRNA from 1 species